rnacentral:rRNA from 1 species
UACGAAGGGUGCAAGCGUUACUCGGAAUUACUGGGCGUAAAGCGUGCGCAGGCGGUUCGUUAAGUCAGCUGUGAAAGCCCCGGGCUUAACCUGGGAAUGGCGGUUGAAACUGGCGAACUUGAAUCUGGCAGAGGGGGGUGGAAUUCCACGUGUAGCAGUGAAAUGCGUAGAGAUGUGGAGGAACACCGAUGGCGAAGGCAGCCCCCUGGGCUGAGAUUGACGCUCAGGCACGAAAGCGUGGGGAGCAAACAGG